rnacentral:rRNA from 1 species
UACGAAGGGGGCUAGCGUUGCUCGGGAUGACUGGGCGUAAAGGGCGCGUAGGCGGUUUGUACAGUCAGGUGUGAAAUUCCCGGGCUCAACCUGGGGGCUGCACUUGAUACGUAGGAACUGGAGUGGGGAAGAGGGUCGUGGAAUUCCCAGUGUAGAGGUGAAAUUCGUAGAUAUUGGGAAGAACACCGGUGGCGAAGGCGGCGACCUGGUCCUUGACUGACGCUGAGGCGCGAAAGCGUGGGGAGCAAACAGG